rnacentral:rRNA from 1 species
CCCCUAGAUGUUCUGGGCCGCACGCGCGCUACACUGAACAGUUCAACAAGUCUUAACCUUGGCCGAUAGGUCUGGGUAAUCUUUGAACGCUGUUCGUGAUUGGGAUAGACCUUUGCAAUUAUGGGUCUUCAACGAGGAAUUCCUUGUAAACGCAAGUCAUCAGCUUGCAUUGAUUACGUCCCUGCCCUUUGUACACACCGCCCGUCGCACCUACCGAUUGAAUGGUCCGGUGAAAUCUCGGGACGGCGGCUUGGUCGCUUGCGUCCGACUGCUGAAACUUGAUUAAACCAUAUCAUUUAGAGGAAGGUGAAGUCGUAACA